GCCUACAGCCAUACCACCCUGAACGCGCCGCAUCUCAUCUGAUGAUGGAAGCUAAGCAGAGUCGGGCCUGGUUAGUACUUGGAUGGGAGAUUAGCCAAGUGUUUUUUUUAAUGGGCU
rfam:TPA: Bos taurus chromosome 23, whole genome shotgun sequence.